AGAUAUUUAGAGGAAGUCCAUUUGCUUGACAAAAACAUCUAUUACUUUUAUCACCAUUGGAGACCGAAAAAGAAUCAAUUACAAUACUUCACUUGGGAAUGACUAAUUGAAUUGUGAAACAUACUGAUGUUCUGAAGUCACCGAGAAAACUACAACAUCCAUCCUUCCCGUUCCCCUUGAAAACUGACACCUUUGCAGCAAAGGAUGUAACAGCCAUGAUACCACAGAAAAAGAAGGUUGUAAUUAAUGUGGCAUCUGUGAUGAUGAAGAUCCACUGGAGAUAUAUUUCAAGAAGCUAGAAGGAAGUCCUAAAACUGGUGUGAAUGCCUUGAUAAGGAUCACAGUAUGGGCUGGUACGCAAAGCAGACAGUUCACUGAGGUUAAAGAUAUUGAUAAUAAUGAUGAGAAAGGAAAGAAGGAAAUCAUAAGAAAAAUAAACUGAUAUCAACCUAUGACUGCACCCAAACCAUCAAGAUAUUUUCAUGCAAUAGUCAUGUGCAGUGACCAGUGGAGUAUUUAGACUACACCCUACAUACUUAUGCUGGUCAAGGUAAGGUCUAAGAUAUGCAGAUUGCUUUUGCAACAGGCAGUGUUGAGGUUUGUUCUAAGGCUUCAUUCCCAUGGGAAUUUAUUUUGCACUAGGUCAGUGUUGAGGGAGCUCUGUCUAUUGCACUGACACAGAUGUUUUACAAAAGCAGCUGCUCUGGCUGGGAAGAUUCUAAUACACUCAUUUCAUUUGAGCUUUCUUCUCUGGAUACUACCAGUGGAUUUGCUAUGCCUUUAAUUUUUCCCCUUUCACACAAAAUGAGGCCUUGCUUAUUUUCUCUUCUCCCACCUCUAAAGUGGACUUAAAUCCUUCAAGCUGUAUCAGUGGUAAUGCUUUUAUUUAACACUGCACUGAACUGAAAGCAACUCCUUCAACAUACUGCUGUUUUCUGUGUCAUUAAUACUGAUGUUCUCAGAAGGCACCACUCAGAAUUUUUACAAAUGCUGUAAAGUAACCAUCCAAAGGCAUUAAGUGCUGAGGAACAUAAAAAUAUUUCACAGUGGGAAAUCGGGGAAAAGGAAAGCAAAAGACACGGAAAAAAACAGGUAUAUGGGCAAAAUCCAGCACGAUGGAAGAAACACACUGAAAAAAAUGUACUGAAAAAAGAAUGUUCUGCAUUUGAGAAGCCUGGCACUUGUGAUAAGAGCUCAUAAAAAGUAAAAUAUGAUUACCAGGAACAGAAUUUAAACAAAAAAAGGAUGCUUGGUUAACACGCUUUGAUCACUGCUAGUAUCAUUUCAAAGUGAAGUUGAACGGUGCUUCAGUCUGGUCUGGGUAAAAGAUUACAAACUGAGCCCUACCUGCAACACUGAACAUUAUUUACCAGAUUGGGCCCAGAGUCUCAUUAAAAAGAACACUUGCAUAACUGUGAAGAUGCUUAAUUUUUAUAGCAACAUGUUGCCUUCAAAUUUAAUUAAUUAUUGCAAUGUCUUACAUUAUAAACCUGAGCUGUGAUUCUGAAGCUCAAAUAAAAUAAAAUAAAAUAAAAUAAAAUAAAAUAAAUAAAUAAAAAUUGUAUGUUGCUGCUUUUGGUAUAGCAGAUUCCUUUCAUUUUCUUCCUCUUUGGAACACUUCAGUAAAAUGGACUCUGAAAACAAUUUUUAAUGCUGACUCCUCUGUAUUCUAGCUUCAUUUGUGGAGGCAGACAAGGAGUCAUAAUAACAGCCUCAAAUAUAACCUUCAAAACACACUGCUUCUGCUUUUGAAGUAUAAAAGAGAUAUGUUCCCAUUACUUUCUUAUGCAUCUUUUCUCAAACCUUUUAAUCUUCACAAAGAAAUGCAAAGCUGACCC
ensembl:lncRNA